AGUGUGGCAGGGGUAAAGGUCUUGGUUCAAUGGUCGAAUCUUCCACCUGAAGAAGCAACUUGGGAGGACUAUGCAGAUUUGAAAGCCAAGUUUUCGGACUUCGACACCCAUCCUUGAGGUCAAGGAUGUUUUCCAUGGGGCAAGGUGUAACAACUUCAGCUAACUUUCCAAUAGCAGUUAGUAGUGGAAGGAGUAUUAGUUAAUAUAGGAGAUGCGGAAGGAGUGAAUUGCAAAUAAUAAAGGGC
rnacentral:lncRNA from 1 species